UGACCUUAUAUGAAAAUGUGUUUUGUAAGUACCACCACGGGAGUCCCAUGCCUUGGGGGACUUAAAUAACCAUUGGCUUAGUGAGUCCCAUGCCUUGGGGGACUGAAAUAACCAUUGGCUUAGUGAGUCCUAUGCCUUGGGGGACUGAAAUAACCAUGGGCUUAGUGAUUGACCACUUUGUGGUCCAGUGUUUGUCGUGGAUCCAUUGACCAGUGUGGUGCUUGGCACUUAGUGAUGUACCGUGGUUAUGGUUGUAUAGUGAUUUUCAUAUUAUAUGAUCUGAAGUAUAUAUCAAAUGAUUUUCGUAUUAUAUGUAUCAAGCUCUUUUGGCCUAACUAAUUAUCCAUGGUGAAUUUUAUGCCUUAUACUCUUAGUAUAAUAUUUCUCACUCUGCCAUGAGCUUAUAGUUUUUUUACCACUUUCAGGUGGCAUGUCGGGACCAGCGUGUGGAGUAGGCACAAAGCACUUUUAUUGAUGUAUUUUUUUUAAUGUAAAAAUCGGCCUUUUUGGUCAAUACCUUUUGUAAUAAAAAUAGAAGCUCCAAUUAUUAUUUUAGUACCCUUAUUUAAAUA